rnacentral:lncRNA from 1 species
AAACCUCCAUUGAAGUGUUGUAGACCGGAGUGUCCAUCCUCCUCUCGCAAUCUACCCUUCGGGUAUUUAGCUUCAUGGAAUGUGUUGCUCUUUUAAAUUUUUAUACCUUCAUUGAUCUAUCCAUUUAAGUUGUUGGUCGAUGUACAUUGCACCGUUGAUAAUGGAGGUGAGCAUGGCCCUUUUUCAUUCAGUUGGGCACCGAACCAAACGAAUUGCAUUAAUACGGUUUGUUGGAUGCAAAUUGCGUAAUCCCAAGAUCUCCAUAACUAUAACAAAAACAUGCAUAAUUGAGUAGAAAUAUUAGCGCACCUGUUUUAGGAUCCAUUGUUCUUGAAACGGAAGCGGAAACACAAUGUUCCACGCGCAAGUCCUUCUCCUCUAUUGCCCUCCGUAUCACUGGCUCAAUGAGACGGCCCCCCUCACGUGUAGCGUUAGAUAAACGCCCCUUAGGUGAGGAUACAGGUGAGAAUUAGGGUUAGAGAUAUGGUGGUGUGGCAAAUGGAUAACAUCUCUCAUAGAGAGAUCCCAUUUGCCAGUCACCAUUCUCUUACCUUAGGCGUUACAAAAACUUGUGCCACUAGAGAAUGCUUUAUGGUUCCAAUGAACCCACGUAUGUCUUGUCCUUACGGUUAACAUUUAUUUAUGUAUCACGAGACAUAUGCAUGAGGCUAAUAACCAGAUGCCCCUAGCCUUCACUCAAGGUUUAUACAAUCCCUUGAGACUUUAUCAAUAACAACUCAUUCAAAAAUAUUUUAUUGAAUGCAAAAGUUGAUACAUAUCAAACCGUUACAAAGUGUAAUGAACACAGAUGAAAUCUUUAUCAGAGUAAAACCAAAAUAGCUCCCACUAAAUAACAGCAUCUCAUAAUGCUUCUAAGCCUAUACUAAUGACAUGUCACUUAAAUACACAUGGGCAUAGGCCUUUAAUUAGUGGAUCUGCAACCAUAUCAUCUAUGAAAAUAUAUUAUAUUAUUAUGUCACCUUACUGUACCGUUUCCUUUUAGUCAAAAAUUUUGACCACCAUAUAUUUAGACCCCUUGAGACCUCUGUAAUAAAUAAAUAAUACUACAAAUUUGUUAUCUCAAUACAACCGUAUGGAUCUAUUCAUAAAGUUAAAACGAUCAACUCCUUCAUGAGGUUAUGGAGCCUAAAAAGCCAAAAUAAUGUUACUAACACUGCUUACAUAGUAGAAGAUGACAUAGAACUUUAUUUACUGCACUUACUGCUAACAUAAAUAUGUAUUCUGUUAUUGAUUGCAUGUCAUCAGAAUAGCCAGCAAAGUUUACAUCUAAAUACCCUACUAACUGCAAGAAUUUAACAUGUCUAUAAAUUAGCAUAUAAUCCAUUGUCCUCUUUAAGUACAUUAAAACCUUCUCAGCAGCAGUCCAGUGAUCACGUCUUGGAUUUGACCAAUAUCUGCCUAGAAAUCCCGUCACAAAGAUGAUAUUUAGUCUAGUGCAAAUUCGAGCAUAUAUUAUACUUUUAAGUGCACUAACACAAUGUACACCCUUCAAUUAGAUUUUCUCAAUAUCUAAAUAAGGACAAUGUGAUAGAUUUAGUCCAUCACCCUUAACAACAGGAGCAAUUCUUGGCUUACAAUGAUGUAUAUUGAAUAUUUUUAAUAUACAAUCAGCAAAUGUCCUCCGAGAAAAUCUAAUAUAAUAUGGCAAAAACAAUCCUUACAGACCUCAGUACAAUGGACAUAAGAUAUCUAAAUGUCACAACUUGUAAGCAAAAUAUCAUGUACAUAGAGUAUGAAAAAAUAAAUUUUCUCCCACUGACUUUGCAAUAUAUUGAAUUACUUUGUUCACAAUUGAACAAAAUAAUAACACUAUGAAACUUUAAUAAUAUUGUCUAGAAACUUGCUUAAAACUAUGAAUAAAACUUUUCAGUCUACACACAAAUUUACUUGAAACAUUUGUGUCGCGACCUACCCUCGGGGGGAGGGAACAGGUUUAGGGGUAUUGCCCAAAGUAUGGACCUAAGACCCAUGAUUAGGCGCGGGCUCUCCCAAGCCCAUACCCCGCGUGACGUUGGGAUAUUUUUCAUGAAUUUUUGCAUAAAAGGAGUCGCCACUAGCCUAUUGGGGUCGGCUAGAAACCAAGUGAGGCAUGGGAGCGUGCCUCACUUCCUACGCAACCAGAGAAUUUAGGUUCGGGGACUUGAUUACACUAAUUAACCAAUUAGUGCCCUUUCGGUACCUAAUCUUGUUCAUUUUAACAAAAUGAAUUUUUGGCAAGCAAUUUGGAUUGAUUUUAUAUUUAUCCACUAACAUGUGAGGUGAUCAUGCAGGCGCGCAAUCAUUAAAGUAAUAAACACGUGCAAUCAAACAUAAUAAAAUAUGCAAAUUAAACAUGCUACAUAAUAAUAAACGAGCAAAUAAAUGCCUAAUUAUAAUAAACGAGCAAAUAAAUGCCUAAUUACACUAAAAAGGCAGUACAUAACAAUUCCUAGCCAAAUCCUACAUUUUUUGGAUUUUCGAAAUUUUUAAUUUUUUUAAUUUUUUAAAAUUUUUUUUUAAUUAAGAAAAAGGUCGAAUUUUUUUGAAUGCUUUCUGAGUUUUUUUGAAUUUUCGGAAAUAUUUUUGAAUUUUUUUGAAUUUUUUUUUUGAAUUUUUUUUUUAUUUUUAUAAUUAAUUUUUGAAUUUUUUUAAUUUUUUAAUAUAUAUUUAAUAUUUAAUAUUAUUAUACUUCAAUAAAAUGGGUUCGGACCGGGUAAACCCGAUCCGACCCGCGGACCCAACCCGAACCCGGAUCCAACACUUUUAGAUUUUUUUUUUUUAAAAAAAGAAAAAAAGAAAAAGAAAAGAAAAGAAAAUAUUAAAUAUAUAUAUAUAUAUAUAUCCUUUCGGUUGUCUUUUCUCACCGCACACUCUGUGUCCUUUUCUUGCACCUACUGUUCAACAGUCAUUCCCGAAGCCCACUUUUCAUUUUAUAGUUUUCUAUUUUUCAUUUUGCUUUUCUUUUCUUUCUUUUGAUUGAUUUUUUUUGUUUUUUUUUUUAUUCCUUCUUUCUUCCCUUCUGGCCUUUUCACCGAACAUCCCCAUCUAUUGUCUUUCCUUCCCUUUUAUUUUUUUGGGUUUUCCUCUUUCGCUUUUUUUUACUUGCUGGUUCUCCUCUUUUCUUUGUUCUUAUUUUUUUUUAUUCUUUCCCUCCUCCCUUCUGACCUUCUUCAUUACGCUUUCAUGCCCGACUCUUUACCCAGGACAUCCUUCAACCGAGAACCCACCGGCACGACAACACCAGUGAGAGCAACCGCCAUCCUUUCCACCGCCAAAACACCACUAUCUACCCGUUAUCCACUCCGACCGGCAACGACCACCGUCGGCCACGAACACCGACAGCCAAACCAUUUUCGGAUGCAAACAUUCCCACGGCUCAAACACACAUGGUUAUUCCACGAAAAUCGUAUAGAUUCGCAAUGGAAACAUAUAAGAAAGGUACGGUCCAACAUAUAUAUGAGCAAGCGCGAAUCAGACGGAGUUUAAACUUGGGAUGCUUCUCGGUUCUCUUUGGGGCAUUUUGUCAAAUAGUCGAGGUGCAGCAGCUAAAAGGGGCAUACGGACUCACUCGAGGCUCGGAUUCGGGUAAAGAUCAACACAACAACAUGCAUGAGCAACGCUCAAGAUCCGCUAAGGGACAUAUCAAUCACAUUCGAACGGAUGUGAGUACAACAAGUAUCUUUGGGCUUCAACAAACUUGCAGAACUUAGAUAUCGUUUACACAUUUCCACAAGCAUUUGGUGUGCAUUCCUGACAUGGGGAAGUUUCCGCACUAGACAAAUCUAAAUCUCCCUACGACAUAUACUAGAAUAGCUAGCAGCUUUCAAGGAGGACCGGCUCAGACCGAAAUUCGCACGAACUAGUCGGCACGAGCUCCGGCCUAACGCUUCCCGAAAAAAACAAGUACACACAGUCGAGACAAAAGCCUACCUGGUUCAAGAGGAGGAACGCGUCAAAUAGCAACUGACGAACGAACCUCCGGCGACGACCAACCACUCUCUCGAGCUUGCACUUUCUAUCUAGGUCGCUCACUCGCUCCCUCUCCUCCUCGGUCUCUCUCUCUCUCUCUCCGUUUUUUCUUUGUCUUGGGUCCGCCCCCCCUUUUAUCUGUUCAUCCCUUGUUUUCUUUUAAAACUGCCGUUGGUUCCCCUUUUUUUUUGUCCGAAAUGUCUUUUGCUAGCCCACGAAGCCAGCUCUCUUUCUUUUCCAUCUUCAGCUCUAAUUUUCCUCGGUCAGUCCAACCUCCUUGCCUCUAUGUAUGUCUGCGGUCAGUUUUCUCCUUGGGACCGAGUUCAAUCUAUUUUCAGCUACAACAAUUGCAGGUUUUCUUGGACUUCGUCAACUGCAGGAGCUGCCACGCUGCAGCCAAGUGUUCAUUGCUUCCAUUUUUCUGAAAUCGCAGUUGUUGAUCCUCUGCAGAUCCUUCUUCGGCUUCCUCCUAUUCUGUCUUCUGUUCUGUUUCUUUCUUUUUUGCAGGUCUUCGAAGACGACACAGAGGGAAGAAGACCCUCGCUCGUGGGCUGAAAGGGAAAAAGGGGGGUUGGGUUGUUGUUGUUUCUUUCUCUCCUUUUUUUUUUACUUUUUGAUUGAUGAUUUUUUUUUGUAAAAAUAGGUGUCAACAAUUUGUUGCAAAAUCCUCAAAUUGCACAAUAUAGAUUUUGUAUCUAUUUGGCGUAACUCCAUAUCAAAAUAAAUUAUUAUUGCCACGUUCACUCUGAAAGAAUCUUUAAAAAAAACUAGAAAGAAAUAUUUAUUUCUUCACUAUUAACUAUCCACUCAUCUUUCAGAGUGAAAACUUUAGCUACCAAUUUGGCUUUAAAUUCCACAAUCUUUCUUUGAAAUUUUUUUAGUUUUGUACACUUAUUUGCAACUAAUGAACUUAUGAUCUUUAGGCAAGUAAGUUAGUUUCCAAACACUAUGAUGUUUCAUAGAUUGUAUACCGCCUUUUAUGGCAUCUAAUCACAUACUUUAUUAAGAAUAAGAAACGAUGUUUAUAAAUAUGUCAUUACAUCAACCAUACAGUAGAUAUUGUAAUCAUGCUCUCACAAAUAGACUAUAUAAUCUGAUGGUAUAACUGAUCGUCUUUCCCUAACAAAUCUCCUUAAUAAAGCUGCAACCACUUCAUUCUGCACUUGAGAGGUUUAAGAAAUUUCAUUAUAAACUAUAUCAAGAAUAGUACCUUGAAACCACCGCCCGCGGUGGCCGCGCUGGUUUGGGCUUAGUACGCAUUGCGAGGGCGGAGGAGUUCGAAACUUCGUGGUCGCGCUAACGCGCGAUUUAACUGUGGUUCUAGGUCAGCGGUGGGGGCCUAGGUCACCCCAGGGUUUACUCCAAAUAGCGGAAAGCGGCGAAAGGAAGUUCCCUGGGUACCCAAAAAAAAAAAAAUUAGUACCUUGAACCUCAACAAGUUUAGUCUAUGGCACAUGAGAUUCCAUAAUUAUCUAUAUAGGUAAAGACAAAAACAUAGUAACCUCCAUCAUACUAUUAUCUUUAAUAGUCUGAGAGCAGCUAUCCUCUAUAAUUACGCCAAUCUUUAGAAAUUUUAGAAUAUGUGAUUCCAUAAUUCUCGUACCUUCUUUAGGGUCAUAAGAUCAAUACCCCUUUAACAAUUUAGAUAAGAUACAAAAUAAUUGCGAGUGGAUCUGAAUUCCAACGCACUUAAUAUUGGAUUAGAUAACUUCACUUUUGCAUGACACCUCUAAAUUUCAUAUGAUUCAAGUAAUUUAUGUCCAAUUUAUAACUCAAAAGAAGUUUAUGAAACAACUUUGAUAAGAGAUACAUUUUGUAUGUGAAAAAAUUGCUUUCAUAAUAUCAGCCCAAAAAAAAAAAAAAACAGAUAAAUUAGUCUUACUAAUCAUACUCAUCACCAUGUUCAAUAUGGUGCAUUUAUACCUUUCGGCCAAAUCUUUUUGUCAGAAUUUUCAGGUAUAGUAAUUAAAUUACCACCCCAGAAUUUACCAAGUACUUGACAAAUCACCCUUUAAGCUAUUUUUUUUUUGGUAAAGUCACCCUUUAAGCUAUUUCGUAUUGUCAUACUUGCCAAAAUACUCACGGCCACUGUUAAACCUGACAACCUUUUAAGACUAAUUGUAAUUGUUUUAUUUUUUAUCUUGGUCAUUUUCCUUAAAUAGAAAACUUUCGGAGACAACCUUUUAAUCAUAUACGAGAUAUAUAUGUCAUUAGGACUUAAACACAAUCUUUGCAAAUAUGUUCUAAUUUCAAUAUCAGACAAGACAUAAUUUCAAGCAACUAAGGCUUCCAUUAUCUUAUAGCAGUGCAGUCCGCAGGCAAACCUCUUUUCAAGUGUUCCAGAAUGGAACGCUUCAUGGACAGUAAGCAAAUUCAAUUGCUAUUUUCUCAAGCAACAAAUCAUGUGUCCACAACUUAAAAUUUGAAGCAGUAAAAAUCUCAAUAAUAAUGAAGUAAUUAAUUACAGAAAAGGUGACUGAAAACCAAGCAAUAUAUAUAAUUAGCAUCAUGUGAGUACCGUGUAACUUGACAUACAAGUACACAUCCAGAAAUUUAUAUGCAUAAUCAUAUAAUCACCUUUGGGCAAAAUACAUGACAUGCAGUUGUACACUCCCCACAUGAUAGCGGUUAUGAGAAUAUAUUCCAAUUCUUCGUGAAUUCAUCACCUUUAGGCAUAUGAAUCACUAGAAUCAGUCACUCCUCCACCACACUAUCAUGUAUCCCUCCAUAAACUAAUACACAAUCACCUCCUUUGGGAGUAUGACUACGCAUUAGAUCAGGAGACAUCACAAUCAUCAUACGAGACCAAAAUUUGUCAAACCCAAUCAAGCGUGCCACUUUGGCGGUCACUACUCAAUUGAAUCAUUGAAAUUCUCUCAUACUAGGGAUAUAAACUUUACUCCUCACAUACACCAUAUAUAUGUGAUUUUAACUUUAGUGAUAAGGACAGCAUAUCACCAAAAUCACAUAUCAUGCUAAUUACAUUGCUUUAAUCAUUAAUAAAAAUUAAUCAUACAUAUAUAUAAAUAUAUAUACAGCGAACCUGAAAGACAGAUUCCAAUGAGAUCAUUGAUCACAGUAACACAAGAAACUUCUCAUCACAAAGAAUAAAACAUCUCUUAUGCACCCCGAUUACAUAUUACCAGAACAACAUAAAAAGAAUGCUGAUAUAAAAUAUCUCUCACAAAUUAACAUCAAUAGUAAUAUAAGGUGCACCAAAUCAACAAGCUUGACAGCUUAUCCAUUAUCACUCAUGAGUUCAUAAGCCAAAAAAAUAACUCCAAGGCCAACAACUGAUUUAUUAGCCAAUUUUUAAGUAACAAAUUAUCAUUGUAAUCAACCAGUGACCUAUUAAUUGAGUCAAACCAGAGAACUAAAUAUCUAAAAUUUAACAGUAGAUACUAUUGCUCUGCGUAAAUGUUGUCAUACUCCUUAACCAUAAAAAAAUAUUCAACUUGAUAGACAUUAACAUGUGACCAGAUGAGUUCAUGUACCAUAUGCAGUAACUUAAUUGACAUGCAUUACCCACAUACAGCAGAUAUGUUAAUCAGUACAAUCAGUUUGGUCACGAGUUCUUAAGAACGUCUAUCAUUCAAAGAUUACCAGCGUGUCAAGGAGUAUGCUUGAGUAACAAAAGUUUCAUAACCUUUACUGUUUCUCAUCAGCUCAAUACAUAGCUCAAUUACUAUUCCAUAAUGGUUGUAUCUCAUUAAGCCAACUUCAGUUCACAAUAAAGUUUAAUUUUAUUAAUGAAUCACACCAUUAUAAUGUUUAUGUGAUAACAUACCUGUAACCCAAUACUUAUAUUUCCAAAAUCACAAAAAAUAUAAGAAAAAUACGCAAAAAUAUACUAAAAAUACACGUAUUUAGGGUUCCAUAUGUAUUUUCACAUCCAUAAAAUUAUCAAACAUGUAAAAUAAAUACACCACGACAUAGAGGAUGAUCAUACGAACCUAACGCCACCAUCCACGCGCCGAACGAAGGCUCCACGCGCCCACACGCGCCGCCUGAGUGCGCGGCGUGUGAAGCUCACGCGCGGCCUCCGGCGAUGCGCCGCCGACUGUCUUGCUCGUCUCAUCGAGCCCAAUCCGAAUUUAUGAUUUUAUUUUAUUUUUAUUGAACAAAAAAUUUCGAAAAUCACAAAUUAGGGCAAAAACUUUAUGCGUUCAAGUUCUAGGGUUAUGGUGGCUCUGAUAUCACAUGUUGGACGCAAAUUGUGUAAUCCCAAGAUUUUCAUAACUAGACAAAAACAUGCAUAAUUGAGUAGAAAUAUUAGCGCACCUGUUUUGGGAUCCAUUGUUCUUGAAACGGAAGCAGAAACACAAUAUUCCACGCACAAGUCCUUCUCCUCUAUUGCCCUCCGUAUCACUGGCUCAAUGAGGCGGCCCCCCUCACGUGUAGCGUUAGGUAAAUGCCCCUUAGCUGAGGAUACAGGUGAGAAUUAGGGUUAGAGGAGAGACUUGAGCACUAUUUAUAGAGUUUCCAGCCAGUCCCCCUCAUUACGGGCCAGGCUCAACUCGGCCCACACUAGCCAGCCCAUAUUAAACUAAUUAAGAAACAUUCUAUCUCACUUUAGACCAACCAUGUUUUACGGUAACCGUAAAAACAGUAAAUUACAAUAUCAAUUAAUUUAGUCCACAUUAGGAAAACUCUUACACGGUUUACCAAAUCAAACCACACUAUGUUCUUUUUGGUAACUUUUACUCCAUCCUAUUUUUCAAUGCAAGUUGAGCUGCUCACUUCCUUCGGUUUUAUUGGCAAAUUGUGCGGCAAGCCAGACUCUGUUUUUCUGCUUAGCGCGUUCCUUCCCCCUCAACAAAAAAGAGUCCCUCUAAAAUCUAUGGCAUGGACAAAUAUGUGCACUAUUUGGUGGUUUAAAUCAGCACCUAACCUAGCUUUUCACCACAUGUCAUUUUCUAUUGUCUUUAUUAGGAAGCAGCCUUCCAGGAGUUGGUAUUGUUCUAUGCUGAAGAAGUGGUCGAAACUGAUGUUCAAGGUGAAUCUAAGUUCAAAUCAUUGGAUGUAUAGAUCUACGAGAGAAUCCCUAUUUGAGCUUUGCCAUUAAAUUCCGUAUGAUAUCUGACAUUACCGUGCUUGUCGUCCAUUCGAGGUAUCUUCAGACAUUGUAGAUAAGUUGGCGGUGGCUUGUUUGUCUUCGUCCUUUCUUGCCUUUUCAAUUAGUUAAAAUUAUUUCUCAAGUCUUGGCAGCUCUUCCCUCAAGUGAGCAGUUCUCUUAAUGUUAUUCUUCCUACUUGGAUUAGUCAUAAUGUCAUUCCAUUUCGGGCUUUUCGUUGCAAGUUCAUCACUGUAGAUAUGAGAAUGAUCCUACUACCUUUCCUGUGUUGGCGAUUUUUUGACUAUUAACAGUCUGAAUGAUAUCUCAAUUUUACUUUUGGCAGAUUAGAUUCAUUGACAACACAGAUUUAUUAUCCUAUUGAAGAUGGAACACAAUCAGACUUGACCUACAACCUCCGGUGUAUGGGGAGGCCACGAGAGACUUGUAAGAAUCACCGUGAUACACAUGAUAUCAUUAAUUAAUGAUUUAAUAAUUUUUUGAAUGCUAUAUAAAAAACAUUGGUCGUAAGAAAGUGCAACUCAAUGCAACUCUUAUGAAAAGGUGUAAUUUUUAUUAGAAUGUGUAAUACUUAUGAAAAUGUGUGACUCUUAUGAAGAUACAAUAUGCUUUGAUGGAAGGC